rnacentral:rRNA from 1 species
GGAAUCUUCCACAAUGGACGCAAGUCUGAUGGAGCAACGCCGCGUGAGUGAAGAAGGUCUUCGGAUCGUAAAACUCUGUUGUUAGAGAAGAACACGAGUGAGAGUAACUGUUCAUUCGGUGACGGUAACUUACCAGAAAGGGACGGCUAACUACGUGCCAG